GUGCCCGCCGCCGCGGUACUACGUAGGUGGCAAGCGUUGUCCGGAUUUACUGGGCGUAAAGAGCGCGCAGGCGGUCGUUCAAGUCGCGUGUGAAAGCCCCCGGCUCAACUGGGGAGGGUCACGCGAUACUGAUCGACUCGAAGGCAGGAGAGGGUAGUGGAAUUCCCGGUGUAGUGGUGAAAUGCGUAGAUAUCGGGAGGAACACCAGUGGCGAAGGCGACUACCGGGCCUGUUCUUGACGCUGAGGCGCGAAAGAUAGGGGAGCAAACGGGAGGAUAAACCAGCGGCUUAC
rnacentral:rRNA from 1 species